UACAGAGGUCUCAAGCGUUGUUCGGAUUCAUUGGGCGUAAAGGGUGCGUAGGCGGCGCGGUAAGUCGGGUGUGAAAUCUUGGAGCUUAACUCCGAAACUGCAUUCGAUACUGCCGUGCUUGAGGACUGGAGAGGAGACUGGAAUUUACGGUGUAGCGGUGAAAUGCGUAGAUAUCGUAAGGAAGACCAGUGGCGAAGGCGGGUCCCUGGACAGUUCCUGACACUGAGACACGAAGGCCAGGGGAGCAAACGGG
rnacentral:rRNA from 1 species